CCCCGUGGGCUGGAACGCGCCGGAAUCUGAGGUGUGAGUAGAGCCUGGGGGAGAGUGGAUCCAGGUGAAGGGGGCAGAGGACUGGGAGUUUUCAUCCUCUUGAAUAAGAACUCGACAACAGAGUGGGAACUUUCUGUCUUGUGAUCCAUUGCCUGGUUCUCUGUCAUUUUUUUAUUCUUCGGUGCUGUGAUCAUCACAUCAGUUCUGUUGCUUUUCCCGCGAGCUGGUGAAUUCCCAGCCCCAGAAGUGGAAGUUAAGAUUGUGGAUGACUUUUUCAUUGGCCGCUAUGUCCUGCUGGCUUUCCUUAGUGCCAUCUUCCUUGGAGGCCUCUUCUUGGUUUUAAUCCAUUAUGUUCUGGAGCCGAUCUAUGCCAAACCACUGCACUCCUACUGACCACUCUUCAGGAAAACGAAAACCUGUUCUCUCCUUCAUUGUGAUGACAUUGAUGAGCAGGAAGGCACUAUUCAGAGCCUUGUUUUGACAGCCCUCAUGCCUUAAGGUUAGAGGAGUAUCUGUCCAUCACUAAGACAAAUCUCUGGAGUCCUGGCUUCCAGAAACAGGAUUGCCAAAUUGUCCCUGUGGGGCUAGAUUCUUACCAGCUUAAGAAGGAUAUUGCUAUCUUCUUAGUACCCGUACCUUAGGAUUUCCAACUGUUUUGAAAGGGAAAUAGUAACAGUGAUCUGCUUAGAGUGGAUUUUCACUCAAGUCCUUAGUAAGUGGAUUUUGGGGAAAAAAGCACCUGGGCUUCUGGUUCUUUUUGAUAAUAUAUAAAAUUAUUCAUUAUGAGGUUGCAGUUGUUUGCAAAGGAGAGGCACUCAAAUUUGAAAGGUUAUUUUAAUGUGAUAAUUUGGAAGACU
rnacentral:lncRNA from 1 species